UUAAAAAGCUCGUAGUUGAAUUUCGGGAUCAAUUACUCGGUCGUGCCUCUGGUACGUACUGGUUUUAUUGGUUCCUCCCUUCUGACGAAACAUGAUGUCAUUAAUUUGGUGUCGUGGAGAAUCAGGACUGUUACCUUGAAAAAAUUAGAGUGUUUAUAGCAGGCUAACGCUUGAAUACAUUAGCAUGGAAUAAUGAAAUAGGACGUUCGACCCUAUUUUGUUGGUUUCUAGGAUCGACGUAAUGAUUAAUAGGGAUAGUUGGGGG
rnacentral:rRNA from 1 species